ACCCAGCAGAGUUGGGCUUACACAAGGAGAUACAGAUGUGUUCUGCCCGCUUGGCUCUUUGCCCUCCUCAGUUUCCAGGGAGACUCAAAGCUCUGUCAAAUCAAGGGCCAUGUCUACUGUCUUCACCACUGCACAUCCCGCAGCAGCUGGGCUGCCUUGCACACAGAAGAAACUGGGAUCAAAGGGAGGAAGAAAAAGACCCACUACAACCUGAAUAAAUCUUGGUAGCAAAUUUAGAGUGAAAAAAAUAAAUCUCAGAAGAUUUUGGUGCUCCGCUAUAAUCUUCCAAGUUUGAAAA